rnacentral:lncRNA from 1 species
UCUAGAGGCUCCUCAUCUCCUGCUGCUGCUUCCUAGCUAUUCGAGUGUUAAAGAUAUCAGAUGUUCAGGGUGUGAAUUAUAUUAGCUUAUGAAACAUGUUCUGUGGACUUUCAUGCCUUUGUACAAUAAUCCUUUCAAGUUGUGACCAUCAAUUCUUUGUUUAAAGGCAGUAUUGUAGGGACUUGGUUGGUUCUUUGGGUGGCUUCAUCUUUGUUUUCUGACUCCUUUUAGGGAUUGUAUCUCAUGUAAGUUCAUCAGUGUAAAGUUCUCUGUCCCCUUGAUUUGUUCAUUUUGUAGUAUUUGUGGCUAUGGAUGGAGUGGAUUGCAUUAUCAACAAUUGAUUCCAGUUAUUAGCACAAUAGUGUUUUU